AUUGAACGCUGGCGGCAGGCUUAACACAUGCAAGUCGAGCGAGCGGCGGACGGGCGGGUAAGGUCUGGGAAACUGCCUGAUGGAGGGGGAUAACUACGGGAAACGGUAGCUAAUACCGCAUACCAUCAGAUGUGCCCAGAUGGGAUUAGCGAGUAGGUGGGGUAAUGGCUCACCCAGGCGACGAUCCCUAGCUGGUCUGAGAGGAUGACCGGCCACACUGGAACUGAGACACGGUCCAGACUCCUACGGGAGGCAGCAGUGGGGAAUAUUGGACAAUGGGCGCAAGCCUGAUACAGCCAUGCCGCGUGAGUGAAGAAGGCCUUCGGGUUGUAAAGCACUUUCAGCGAGGAGGCGUUACUCACAGAAGAAGCACCGGCUAACUCCGUGCCAGCAGCCGCGGUAAUUC
rnacentral:rRNA from 1 species